GAUGAACGCUGGCGGCGUGCCUAAUACAUGCCAGUCGAGCGAACGGACGAGAAGCUUGCUUCUCUGAUGUUAGCGGCGGACGGGUGAGUAACACGUGGAUAACCUACCUAUAAGACUGGGAUAACUUCGGGAAACCGGAGCUAAUACCGGAUGAUAUUUUGAACCGCAUGGUUCAAAAGUGAAAGACGGUCUUGCUGUCACUUAUAGAUGGAUCCGCGCUGCAUUAGCUAGUUGGUAAGGUAACGGCUUACCAAGGCAACGAUGCAUAGCCGACCUGAGAGGGUGAGCAGCCACACUGGAACUGAGACACGGUCCAGACUCCUACGGGAGACAGCAGUAGGGAAUCUUCCGCAAUGGGCGAAAGCCUGACGGAGCAACGCCGCGUGAGUGAUGAAGGUCUUCGGAUCGUAAAACUCUGUUAUUAGGGAAGAACAUAUGUGUAAGUAACUGUGCACAUCUUGACGGUACCUAAUCAGAAAGCCACGGCUAACUACGUG
rnacentral:rRNA from 1 species